rnacentral:rRNA from 1 species
UACGUAGGAGGCGAGCGUUAUCCGGAAUUACUGGGCGUAAAGCGUACGCAGGCGGCUUCUUAAGUCUGACGUGAAAGCUCCCGGCUUAACUGGGAGAGGUCGUUGGAGACUGGGGGGCUUGAGGCGAUGAGAGGGGUGUAGAAUUCCCGGUGUAGUGGUGGAAUGCGUAGAUAUCGGGAGUAAUUCCAGUGGCGAAAGCGACACCCUGGCAUAGGCCUGACGCUCAUGUACGAAAGCGUGGGGAGCAAACGGG